UACAGAGGGUGCAAGCGUUAAUCGGAAUUACUGGGCGUAAAGCGCGCGCAGGCGGUCCUUUAAGUCUGAUGUGAAAGCCCUCGGCUCAACCGAGGAGGGUCAUUGGAAACUGGAGGACUUGAGUGCAGAAGAGGAAAGUGGAAUUCCAAGUGUAGCGGUGAAAUGCGUAGAGAUUUGGAGGAACACCAGUGGCGAAGGCGACUUUCUGGUCUGUAACUGACGCUGAGGCGCGAAAGCGUGGGGAGCAAACAGGG
rnacentral:rRNA from 1 species